rfam:Theobroma cacao cultivar Matina 1-6 chromosome 9, whole genome shotgun sequence.
UUGUUUGCGGGUGUAGCAUCAUCAAGAUUCACAUGCAAAUGCACGGUGGUGGUGAUGGAUAAUACAAACUCUCUUCUUUUUUUCUCCCCUUCCCCUUUCUUUUCCCUUCUCCUUUAUGCCAAAGUUGUUUGGAAAGUGAGAAUCUUGAUGAUGCUGCAUCGGCAAUAAA